GCCUGGAUAGCAGUGUUGUUUAGAGCGUGGUGCUGAUAAUGCCAUGGUUGCAGGUUCAAUCCCUGUAUUGGACA
rnacentral:tRNA from 1 species